AGAGAUAUAGUUUUAAAAAUAUUUUGUUUACACCAAAAAGUCCUCUAAUGAGUAUUUCUU
rnacentral:tRNA from 2 species